rnacentral:tRNA from 45 species
GCCGGGAUGGCGGAAUAGGUAGACGCACGGGACUCAAAAUCCCGCGCCGCAAGGCGUGCCGGUUCGAUUCCGGCUCCCGGCACCA